rnacentral:piRNA from 1 species
UGGAAGAACAAGACACUCCUGAAGGGAUC